AGUGAACGCUGGCGGUAGGCCUACACAUUGCAGGUGGACGGCAAGACCGGUAAAGGCUUGCCUUUCGGGGGGCGGGGUGCGGACGGGGGGGGGAUACAAUCGGAUUUUAUUUUUCCGUGGGGGUAACGGUAGGAAACCUUCGCCUAUACCCCCUACGGACCACCGGUGAAAAGAAGGGAUUUUUUGAACUUUUCCCGAUGAAUUGACCGGAUGUCGGAUUAGUUAGUAGGCGGGGUAAAGGCCACCAAAGGCGACGAUCCGUAGCUGGUCUGAGAGGAUGAUCAGCCACACUGGAACUGAGACACGGUCCAGACUCCUACGGGAGGCAGCAGUGGGGAAUAUUGGACAAUGGGCGCAAGCCUGAUCCAGCCAUACCGCGUGGGUGAAGAAGGCCUUCGGGUUGUAAAGCCCUUUUGUUGGGAAAGAAAAGCAGCAGGUUAAUACCCCGCUGUUCUGACGGUACCCAAAGAAUAAGCACCGGCUAACUUCGUG
rnacentral:rRNA from 1 species